UAUAUAAAGAUUCUUUUUAUCUUUUUUAUCUACUCAAGAAGUAUAGUACAUGGGAGAUAAGAUGUUUGAUCAAGCAUCUUUUUUCUUUUUUUUUUGAGAGAUAGGUAGCACGCUACCCGGUUCGUUUUUUAAACUUAGCUAGUAAUGUGAAUCAACUAGGAUUCGAACUUGAAUCUCGGGUACCAACCACCAAGCCCUUUGCCAUUUGCUCUAGGGACAGUCAGUUUUGAUCAUGCAUCUUAAGUAGAUAUUAUACUCGGGCCUAAAGUCAUUUUUUUGAAAUAAGAU
rnacentral:lncRNA from 1 species